rnacentral:rRNA from 1 species
GAACGCUGGCGGCAGGCCUAACACAUGCAAGUCGAGCGGUAACACUUCUAGCUUGCUAGAAGAUGACGAGCGGCGGACGGGUGAGUAACGCGUAGAAAUCUACCUAGUAGUGGGGGAUAGCCCAGAGAAAUUUGGAUUAAUACCGCAUACGCCCUACGGGGGAAAGCGGGGGAUCUUCGGACCUCGUGCUAUUAGAUGAGUCUGCGUCGGAUUAGCUUGUUGGUGAGGUAAUGGCUCACCAAGGCGACGAUCCGUAGCUGGUCUGAGAGGAUGACCAGCCACACUGGAACUGAGACACGGUCCAGACUCCUACGGGAGGCAGCAGUGGGGAAUAUUGCACAAUGGGCGCAAGCCUGAUGCAGCCAUGCCGCGUGUGUGAAGAAGGCCUUAGGGUUGUAAAGCACUUUCAGCAGUGAGGAAAGGGGUGUCGUUAAUAGCGCCAUCCUGUGACGUUAACUGCAGAAGAAGGACCGGCUAACUCCGUG